UCUAUGGUUUCCGCGGCUCGCUAGAAGGAGUGUGGUCCACUGGUGGACUCCCUACAUUCUUCCUCCAUUACCGCACUGCCUCCGGUGGCUGCUGGGAUACCGGAGGACUCGGGUCCCGGCUCGACUCAGUCUUCCAGCCGCCCGGGGAAUACCUCUAGUUCUUCCCGGCCGCCGCCGCCUCCGCCCCGCCGCUUCCUCCUCCGCCGCCGGCCUCCUUCGCCCCGCCCGUCCGCGCAGCGCGUCCGGCCCGCCCGCAGGCCAGCUUCUCUCGGGAGCCCCCACCCAGGCUCAUGGCUCCAUGAAGCAAGAGGAGGAGGCAGAGCGCGAGAGGUCCGUCCGCCCCAGCCGCGUCUGGGCCAGGAGAAAAGCAAAACCAUAUUCCUGCUGCUGUCAGUUAUGAUGCACUGAGAAAACUUCAGAGACCUAAGCUUUUUCCAGAGAAGAGAAGCUUUACUGGUGUUCCAGCCCUAAGGCUCAUAUGACAUUAACAGACAAGACACUUUUCAGAAAGACAGGCAACGUGUUGGACCUUCCUGAGCUUCUCAGAAGACAGAGGAUUUUCUUUUGAG
rnacentral:antisense_RNA from 1 species